rnacentral:tRNA from 1 species
GGGCCCGUAGCUCAGUUGGCUAGAGCGCGUGAAUGGCAUUCACGAGGUCAGGGGUUCGACUCCCCUCGGGUCCA